UUUCUUUCAUUUGGUCAGUUUUGAGAAACAGAGCUCUAUUUCAGGUCUUAAGACACGGCUGCACCAUUACUCAGGCUAAAGGGUGUGACUGCCUCCUGGAUCAGUGUGCUGCAACUCUUCCCUCUUCCUGAUGACCCACACAGUCUACACCUCAAGCUCCAGCUCAACAAUUCUGAGUUGACAUUCUCCUACAGGCAUUCCCUUACAGGAUGGACUUAGAGAAAAAAAUGAACAUGUCAGCAAUGAGUAACACAGUAUUCUCAACAGGAUCAUUCAUAACCAGCAAUUCAACAUCCAAUGUCUCAUCCUAUUGUAAUCCACUUGGAUCCACCUAUAAUGCAGCUUUAAUAGCAAUUUACACCCUUGUGCUUGUGGGAGGUUCUACUGGUGCCAUCAUCAUGACGUGGAAAAUAAAAACCGACAGCAAAUCUGUGACAUCCACCGCCGUGGUCAAUCUUAUAUUGAUGCACACGUUCUUUCUCCUAACUGUGCCU